rnacentral:ncRNA from 1 species
GGAGAAAGCAUGUAGCAAAGUCAACAAGACUACGAACAGAAAUGGAAUACAAGUCUAAAUGGUGGAUGAGAUUGCUUAAUAUAUCGAAGUCUUAAAGGUAAACGUAAAGCCAACAUGGGUUAAGUGAUGAAAGA